rnacentral:rRNA from 1 species
AUUGAACGCUGGCGGCAUGCCUUACACAUGCAAGUCGAACGGCAGCAUGAUCUAGCUUGCUAGAUUGAUGGCGAGUGGCGAACGGGUGAGUAAUACAUCGGAACGUGCCCUGUAGUGGGGGAUAACUAGUCGAAAGGUUAGCUAAUACCGCAUACGACCUGAGGGUGAAAGUGGGGGACCGCAAGGCCUCAUGCUAUAGGAGCGGCCGAUGUCUGAUUAGCUAGUUGGUGAGGUAAAGGCUCACCAAGGCGACGAUCAGUAGCUGGUCUGAGAGGACGAUCAGCCACACUGGGACUGAGACACGGCCCAGACUCCUACGGGAGGCAGCAGUGGGGAAUUUUGGACAAUGGGCGAAAGCCUGAUCCAGCAAUGCCGCGUGUGUGAAGAAGGCCUUCGGGUUGUAAAGCACUUUUGUCCGGAAAGAAAUGGCUCUGGUUAAUACCUGGGGUCGAUGACGGUACCGGAAGAAUAAGGACCGGCUAACUACGUG